GAUGAACGCUGGCGGCGUGCUUAACACAUGCAAGUCGAACGGGGAACAAAUUAUUGAAGCUUCGGCAGAUCUAGCUUGUUCCUAGUGGCGGACGGGUGAGUAACGCGUGGGUAACCUGCCUCGCACUGGGGGAUAACAGUCAGAAAUGGCUGCUAAUACCGCAUAAGCGCACAGUACCGCAUGGUACAGUGUGAAAAACUCCGGUGGUGUGAGAUGGACCCGCGUUGGAUUAGCUAGUUGGCAGGGCAGCGGCCUACCAAGGCGACGAUCCAUAGCCGGCCUGAGAGGGUGAACGGCCACAUUGGGACUGAGACACGGCCCAGACUCCUACGGGAGGCAGCAGUGGGGAAUAUUGCACAAUGGGGGAAACCCUGAUGCAGCGACGCCGCGUGAAGGAAGAAGUAUCUCGGUAUGUAAACUUCUAUCAGCAGGGAAGAAAAUGACGGUACCKACU
rnacentral:rRNA from 1 species